UACGUAGGGUGCGAGCGUUAAUCGGAAUUACUGGACGUAAAGCGUGCGCAGGCGGUUUUGUAAGCCAGAUGUGAAAUCCCCCGGGCUUAACCUGGGAACUGCGUUUGAAACUGGAAGGCUUGAGUGUGGCAGAGGGGGGUGGAAUUCCACGUGUAGCAGUGAAAUGCGUAGAGAUGCGGAGGAACACCGAUGGCGAAGGCAGCCCCCUGGGUCGACACUGACGCUCAGGCACGAAAGCGUGGGGAGCAAACAGG
rnacentral:rRNA from 1 species